GGGUGUGUGGUGUAGUGGUUAGCGCGCUGCGCUAUGAACCCAGCGAUCCGGGUUCGAUUCCCGCACACGGCCA